GAUGAACGCUGGCGGCGUGCCUAAUACAUGCAAGUCGAGCGAACGGACGAGAAGCUUGCUUCUCUGAUGUUAGCGGCGGACGGGUGAGUAACACGUGGAUAACCUACCUAUAAGACUGGGAUAACUUCGGGAAACCGGAGCUAAUACCGGAUAAUAUUUUGAACCGCAUGGUUCAAAAGUGAAAGACGGUCUUGCUGUCACUUAUAGAUGGAUCCGCGCUGCAUUAGCUAGUUGGUAAGGUAACGGCUUACCAAGGCAACGAUGCAUAGCCGACCUGAGAGGGUGAUCGGCCACACUGGAACUGAGACACGGUCCAGACUCCUACGGGAGGCAGCAGUAGGGAAUCUUCCGCAAUGGGCGAAAGCCUGACGGAGCAACGCCGCGUGAGUGAUGAAGGUCUUCGGAUCGUAAAACUCUGUUAUUAGGGAAGAACAUAUGUGUAAGUAACUGUGCACAUCUUGACGGUACCUAAUCAGAAAGCCACGGCUAACUACGUGCCAGCAGCCGCGGUAAUACGUAGGUGGCAAGCGUUAUCCGGAAUUAUUGGGCGUAAAGCGCGCGUAGGCGGUUUUUUAAGUCUGAUGUGAAAGCCCACGGCUCAACCGUGGAGGGUCAUUGGAAACUGGAAAACUUGAGUGCAGAAGAGGAAAGUGGAAUUCCAUGUGUAGCGGUGAAAUGCGCAGAGAUAUGGAGGAACACCAGUGGCGAAGGCGACUUUCUGGUCUGUAACUGACGCUGAUGUGCGAAAGCGUGGGGAUCAAACAGGAUUAGAUACCCUGGUAGUCCACGCCGUAAACGAUGAGUGCUAAGUGUUAGGGGGUUUCCGCCCCUUAGUGCUGCAGCUAACGCAUUAAGCACUCCGCCUGGGGAGUACGACCGCAAGGUUGAAACUCAAAGGAAUUGACGGGGACCCGCACAAGCGGUGGAGCAUGUGGUUUAAUUCGAAGCAACGCGAAGAACCUUACCAAAUCUUGACAUCCUUUGACAACUCUAGAGAUAGAGCCUUCCCCUUCGGGGGACAAAGUGACAGGUGGUGCAUGGUUGUCGUCAGCUCGUGUCGUGAGAUGUUGGGUUAAGUCCCGCAACGAGCGCAACCCUUAAGCUUAGUUGCCAUCAUUAAGUUGGGCACUCUAAGUUGACUGCCGGUGACAAACCGGAGGAAGGUAGGGAUGACGUCAAAUCAUCAUGCCCCUUAUGAUUUGGGCUACACACGUGCUACAAUGGACAAUACAAAGGGCAGCGAAACCGCGAGGUCAAGCAAAUCCCAUAAAGUUGUUCUCAGUUCGGAUUGUAGUCUGCAACUCGACUACAUGAAGCUGGAAUCGCUAGUAAUCGUAGAUCAGCAUGCUACGGUGAAUACGUUCCCGGGUCU
rnacentral:rRNA from 1 species